rnacentral:rRNA from 1 species
UGGGGAAUAUUGGACAAUGGGCGAAAGCCUGAUCCAGCCAUGCCGCGUGUGUGAAGAAGGCCUUUUGGUUGUAAAGCACUUUAAGCGAGGAGGAGGCUACUUGGAUUAAUACUCUAGGAUAGUGGACGUUACUCGCAGAAUAAGCACCGGCUAACUCUGUGCCAGCAGCCGCGGUAAUACAGAGGGUGCGAGCGUUAAUCGGAUUUACUGGGCGUAAAGCGUGCGUAGGCGGCUUUUUAAGUCGGAUGUGAAAUCCCUGAGCUUAACUUAGGAAUUGCAUUCGAUACUGGGAAGCUAGAGUAUGGGAGAGGAUGGUAGAAUUCCAGGUGUAGCGUUGAAAUGCGUAGAGAUCUGGAGGAAUACCGAUGGCGAAGGCAGCCAUCUGGCCUAAUACUGACGCUGAGGUACGAAAGCAUGGGGAGCAAACAGG